GCCUGGGUGGCUUAGUCAGUGAAGCGUCUGCCUUCAGCUCAGGUCAUGAUCCUGGGGUGGUGGGAUCGAGUCCCACAUCAGGCU
rnacentral:tRNA from 1 species